rnacentral:rRNA from 1 species
ACGGAGGGUGCAAGCGUUAUUCGGAUUUACUGGGCGUAAAGGGCGCGCAGGCGGUCUUUUAAGUCGGAUGUGAAAUCCCGGGGCUCAACCCCGGAAGUGCAUCCGAAACUGAAAGACUUGAGUAUGGGAGAGGGAAGUGGAAUUCCUGGUGUAGCGGUGAAAUGCGUAGAUAUCAGGAGGAACACCGGUGGCGAAGGCGACUUCCUGGACCAAUACUGACGCUGAGGCGCGAAGGCGUGGGGAGCAAACAGG